GACGAACGCUGGCGGCGUGCUUAACACAUGCCAGUCGAACGGAAAGGCCCUGCUUUUGUGGGGUGCUCGAGUGGCGAACGGGUGAGUAACACGUGAGUAACCUGCCCUUGACUUUGGGAUAACUUCAGGAAACUGGGGCUAAUACCGGAUAGGAGCUCCUGCUGCAUGGUGGGGGUUGGAAAGUUUCGGCGGUUGGGGAUGGACUCGCGGCUUAUCAGCUUGUUGGUGGGGUAGUGGCUUACCAAGGCUUUGACGGGUAGCCGGCCUGAGAGGGUGACCGGCCACAUUGGGGCUGAGGUGCGGCCCAGACUCCUACGGGGGGCAGCAGUGGGGAAUAUUGCACAAUGGGCGGAAGCCUGAUGCAGCAACGCCGCGUGCGGGAUGACGGCCUUCGGGUUGUAAACCGCUUUCGCCUGUGACGAAGCGUGAGUGACGGUAAUGGGUAAAGAAGCACCGGCUAACUACGUG
rnacentral:rRNA from 1 species